AUCUGUGGGUUCUUACUGGUGUUACUGGUUCUGUUAGGGAGACCAUGUGUUCACAGGAAACUUGAUGCUGAUGGGGGAGAAGUUGGAGAUAAUGACAUCACAUACAGUGAGAGAAAAUCUCAAAUCAUCGGCAACAGCCAAUCAGAGGAAGCAGAGGUAGUGUUUAAUAUGCUGUGUCGAGCGUUCAUGUUGAUAUUGAAAGAAAAGAGAAAACUGGUUACAUGAACUCAUUGUGAACUCACUGAGCCUAAACUCAUGUGUUAAACACAAUAAAAAGCCCUUACAUAUUCCGUGCAUAAUAUGUCCACAUUCACGUGUGUUAAUGAUUGUGUCACGGUUCUGUGUCAGUGUGGACCCAGUAUUUUGAGUUUAUUAUAUUUCGGUUUAAUUGACGAUUAUUAUUUGAGUUUCAUGUAUCUUCUGUCCGCCCCUCUGUCGAGUCCGUGUCUUUGAGUAGUGUUUCCUGUUUAUUGUGAAAGUCUUUGUCUUAGGUGAGUGCGUGCAGCUUUGUUCCCCCCUGUCUCAUCCAGUAACUGCAUGCCUCUGGACUGUGGGAGGAAGCCGGAGUACCCGAGCUGUAUCUCAAUUCAUUGGCCGCAUUCCUCGAAGAACCCAGCCUUCAUGGUCGACGUGGGCAAGGUCCUCCAAAGACCGAGAAGGCCAGAAAUGCGAGGCUGUGAAGUGGGACGGUGUAGCCUUCAGAUUUGCGUCACCAGUUGUCUCACCAGUUACCGCGCUAUGAUUUCUGAGAUAUGAGAGUGAUCCCGUUCCUGUCCACUCAGCCCUGAGAACUGAAGACAUCAGUUAUGGACAAACAGCUACUUUAAACCAGAGCCAGAUGUCGUCUACUUUUCACUGAAGCAGUCCACCGGUCCAACCACUGAUGUCCAGCUGCUGGUCUCUAACUGGCCCAC